rnacentral:tRNA from 1 species
GGGCCCUUAGCUUAGUUGGUUAAAGCAGCCGACUCAUAAUCGGCCGAUCGUGGGUUCAAGUCCCACAGGGCCCA